UGGUUGAAAUUCUCAUGUUGAGUCAUCCUGAUGUUGACACCCCAUGUGGGACCUAGAAGCACAAACAAAUCUCUCUCUGUGUCUCUGUCUCUGCCUCUGCCUCUCUCUCUCUCUCUCUCUCUCUCUCUCUCUCUCUCUCUCUCUGUCUCUCUCCUGGGCUCUAGGACUGCUGUGUGCCUUAGUUCUGCCUGCUCUUUCUCUUCCUCCCUCCCUCUCUCUUUCUCUUUUGCUUCCUCCCUUUCCCUUCUUUCCUCCUCUCCUUCCCUCAUUACCUCUUAUAGGAACCAGGAGAUACAUUGUUAGCUUUUCUCCUCAGACACAGACUUGAGAAGAUGAAUCUACUUUAACUGACUCCAUGUCAUGUUCUCCUAGAGAAACCAGAGAGGAGCCGGAAACAAGAUGGAAACAGGAAAGAAUGCAAGUAAGAGAUGGCUUCAGCCAGAGUCUCCCAGAGCUGGUGGCAAUCUGAUCCUGCUAAAACUGCAGUUGCGAACUCUUUCACUAAGGAAUUCCCACACAAGACAGGAGGACUGUACCAAUCCAGUCACUGAUAGAGGGGAAUGACGUGAGGAAUGGGUCAUCUCCACAUAAUGCUCAGAGAGGCAGAAGUUGGUGCAGUUCUCCUCUUCUCUGUUGAGUUAGUGAUGGAGCACAAACAACUGGGAAUGUUUCAGCAAGAAAGAAAUAGAGUGACUGUAUGUCUGAAGAUAUCUGCAGCUAUUUUGAAGACAACAAAAGGUGUUAUGGUAACUAUUCUUGAUUUUAUAAGAUUUUGAAGUCUUAUAUCACUUAUCCUG